rnacentral:rRNA from 2 species
AGGCUUAACACAUGCAAGUCGAGCGCCCCGCAAGGGGAGCGGCAGACGGGUGAGUAACGCGUGGGAACGUACCCUUUACUACGGAAUAACGCAGGGAAACUUGUGCUAAUACCGUAUGUGCCCUUUGGGGGAAAGAUUUAUCGGUAAAGGAUCGGCCCGCGUUGGAUUAGCUAGUUGGUGGGGUAAAGGCCUACCAAGGCGACGAUCCAUAGCUGGUCUGAGAGGAUGAUCAGCCACAUUGGGACUGAGACACGGCCCAA